rnacentral:rRNA from 1 species
AUUGAACGCUGGCGGCAUGCUUUACACAUGCAAGUCGAACGGUAACAGGCCGCAAGGUGCUGACGAGUGGCGAACGGGUGAGUAAUGCAUCGGAACGUGCCCAGUCGUGGGGGAUAACGCAGCGAAAGCUGCGCUAAUACCGCAUACGAUCUAUGGAUGAAAGCGGGGGACCGUAAGGCCUCGCGCGAUUGGAGCGGCCGAUGUCAGAUUAGGUAGUUGGUGGGGUAAAGGCUCACCAAGCCAACGAUCUGUAGCUGGUCUGAGAGGACGACCAGCCACACUGGGACUGGGACACGGCCCAGACUCCUACGGGAGGCAGCAGUGGGGAAUUUUGGACAAUGGGCGCAAGCCUGAUCCAGCAAUGCCGCGUGCAGGAAGAAGGCCUUCGGGUUGUAAACUGCUUUUGUACGGAACGAAACGGUCCUGGUUAAUACCUGGGGCUAAUGACGGUACCGUAAGAAUAAGCACCGGCUAACUACGUGCCAGCCGCCGCCGCGGUAA